AAUGAACGCUGGCGGCAUGCCUAACACAUGCAAGUCGAACGAAGGCUUCGGCCUUAGUGGCGCACGGGUGCGUAACGCGUGGGAAUCUGCCCUUGGGUUCGGAAUAACAGUUAGAAAUGACUGCUAAUACCGGAUGAUGUCGUAAGACCAAAGAUUUAUCGCCCAAGGAUGAGCCCGCGUAGGAUUCGCUAGUUGGUGGGGUAAAGGCCUACCAAGGCGACGAUCCUUAGCUGGUCUGAGAGGAUGAUCAGCCACACUGGGACUGAGACACGGCCCAGACUCCUACGGGAGGCAGCAGUGGGGAAUAUUGGACAAGGGGCGAAAGCCUGAUCCAGCAAUGCCGCGUGAGUGAUGAAGGCCUUAGGGUUGUAAAGCUCUUUUACCCGGGAUGAUAAUGACAGUACCGGGAGAAUAAGCACCGGCUAACUUCGUG
rnacentral:rRNA from 1 species